AAAGACACGCGUUCCCAGCAGGAAGAAAAAAAAACGAAAGAAAAGAAAAAGCCCAGUGUGUUUAUGUUUUUAACCUUUUCUUUCCUCCUUCAGAGAAAUGCACCACUAUCCUCCUCCCCUCCUCCUUUCCUGUUAGUCCUCCCUCCCUCUACCUCACUUUCUCUUCCUCUCUCGCUCUGAUAUUUCGCAUAAAGGAGUCACAUUUCACUGAAGAAGGAAUCAAGGCUUCACUUCUUCUUUCUUCUACCUUAACCGUGCCGUUCCUCUCCCGUGACUUCCUCUGUCUUCCCUCCUCCCCCCUGCUCCCCCCUCUCUCUCUCUCUCUCUCUGUGCCGUCACAUUUUCUCUCCUCCCAUCACUGCAUUGCACUUUGAUUCCCUCUACUUGCUUUGGUUUGCUUCCCAAACUUAUUUUACUUUCCUCUUUGCUCUCAGAUGUAUCUUCUCUCUUGCGCUGCUUGAUGUAAACGACUGCAGUCCUAUUUACUUUUUUGUACUUUUUACAUUUGAAGAAAGAAGUUUUGUUUUUGUGGGGAAAGUUACGUUUUGAAGACUUUUUAAUUUCUUUUUUUCAAAACCAAGAGGGGAAAUCUUUGUCAAUACGAAGUCCCACGCUGGUUUGACGGUGGUUGAAGAUCCAAGAGAGUUAUUUAUUGCAGGCAUUCAGGUGAUCUUUCUGUUUUUUUUCUCCAAUCAACAUCAAUCUGCGCGCAUCUGUUGCUGGAAACCUCGUAUUGAUACCCGUUGCUAUUAUUGCCGGAUGUUACUUAUAGAGCUUAUGGUCAUGCUGAUGAUGGCGAAGGGAUGAAGUCUUUCGGAUGAAAUGAAGCAGAAGUCCCCCUCUUAUUUGUGCUAUUUUCUCCCUCCCACCUCCUUGUUAUUGCCAAAAACAGAAUAACUGCCAGCUUUUGUUACAGAGUCUCUCUAUCUCUCUUUCUCUACCCUUUCAGGCGCAGGGUGUAGCUACCAUUCAGGCUCUUCCUCUGUCUCCCCCCUCUUCCAAAUGUUUCAGUGGAAAUGCAGCCUGUAGACACCUCUCCCUCUGCCCCCCCUUCUCUCUGAUUCUUUGGAGGAGCGUCACCUCCUGCACUAUUUUUUUUUCCUUAGACGGUACAUGUGGGCGGAUUAGAGAGUAAGACUGAAAGGGUGGGAGGACCCUGGUGAAUAGAGAGGCUACUGUUUUUUUUUCCCCAUAUGCCUUCUGAACUUCAUACAUAUAUGUAAAACAGUAAAACAGAAAUAAAAAAACUGAAGGUUGUGAUGA